GAUGAACGCUGGCGGCGUGCCUAAUACAUGCAAGUCGAGCGAAUGGAUUAAGAGCUUGCUCUUAUGAAGUUAGCGGCGGACGGGUGAGUAACACGUGGGUAACCUGCCCAUAAGACUGGGAUAACUCCGGGAAACCGGGGCUAAUACCGGAUAACAUUUUGAACCGCAUGGUUCGAAAUUGAAAGUCGGCCUCGGCUGUCACUUAUGGAUGGACCCGCGUCGCAUUAGCUAGUUGGUGAGGUAACGGCUCACCAAGGCAACGAUGCGUAGCCGACCUGAGAGGGUGAUCGGCCACACUGGGACUGAGACACGGACCAGACUCCUACGGGAGGCAGCAGUAGGGAAUCUUCCGCAAUGGACGAAAGUCUGACGGAGCAACGCCGCGUGAGUGAUGAAGGCUUUCGGGUCGUAAAACUCUGUUGUUAGGGAAGAACAAGUGCUAGUUGAAUAAGCUGGCACCUUGACGGUACCUAACCAGAAAGCCACGGCUAACUACGUGCCAGCAGCCGCUGUAA
rnacentral:rRNA from 1 species